GUUAUAUUCCAAACGGCAACGGGCUUCGAAUAAACUCGAUCGACGCCUCUUCGCCUGUGGGGGUGUGCGAAACCGAUCGCUGGUGCGGCGAAGGUGAUAUCAGGAUCUCACAAGCACAUUCUAGUUUGUUGUUUGCUAAAGAUUGAUGGCUGCUCAUAAAAUUGCACAUGCUACCCUCAAGGGUCCUAGUGUUGUCAAGGAGAUCUGCAUUGGCCUUACACUGGGAUUAUUCGCUGGUGGUCUGUGGAAGAUGUACCACUGGAAUGAGCAGAGGAGAACAAGAGCUUUUUAUGACAUGCUAGAGAAGGGUGAAAUUAGUGUUGUUGUUGCAGAAGAAUAAUCAUCCUAGUCUCAUUCCUUCAGAUAUAAAUGGAGACCUGCAUUCUCAUCCUGGAAGCUCAAGUACAUUUUCAGAUCAAAUUUGCAGCUUUUUACUGCUGGAUGCAAAAUAAGUUUGGAUGAUUGUUGAGACCUACUACAAUGCGCAUCGUCGCAUGCGGCCUGCGAAACCCGCCGCUUCGGCCGCAGGUGAGGAGAGCGGGAAGCCGUUCCCUCCGACAUCCCCGCCAGGCUCUACAAGUUCCCAGAGCUACCAGCAGCUAUUGUGGACUUCGAUGAAGGUGCAUGCAUUAACCAUCUUAAACAAUCCAAGAAGCUAAUCUAGGAGAUGCUGGUGAGUCAAAAUCUGCUAUCACUGUUGUAGGGGUUGAAAUUGUUUGUUCUUCGUGUUCCAUUAAUAUCCUGAUAUCAAGUGCUGUAACACCUAAAUUAGCCUAGGAAGAAAGGUGCUAUGAAUCUGAAACAAAACUUUCUGCAGUCGAGUCACGUCUGCAACUAUUGACAUAUGGCACUCGAGAUUUGAAGACAGCCAUGGGCCACCUAUCAUGCGUUAUCUAAGACAAAUCUAUUUCGGAUGCUGUGUCGAGGUGAACAAGUCUACACGUCUUCCCUGAGGAGAACCAGGUCUACAUGCAAGCUUGAGUGAUAUGUCCAAGAGCAUCACUUUCACAAAUGAUGUGUCGAAACAUGCUUCACUCCGUGAACAGCAACUAAAUAUUCCUGAUGAUGACCUGCAGAAACACAAAUCUUGUUCGUGCCGGAUAUGAGAUGCUUUUUAACUCUUACUAAUUAACACACCUGUGAUCAUAAUCUUCAGCAAGUCGACACAGUACUCUACCGAUGGUAGAGGGAGAAGGAGUGCAGUGGGAUGAGAACAAAAAGAAGGGGGAGGAGAAAAGAGGGGUCGCCAUCGUGCGUCGCCGAGGGAGAGUCGAGCGGUGGCCACCACCACCACCUUCACCGCCACCUGAGCUCAGGAAAAGGGUCGUAGGUUUUUCUGGUACCCAAAUAAGUGCAUUGAAGCGUUGACCGCUGUCAGCUGGGGGCGAGUGGCGAUGAGCGCUCCUCUCUGUUCUUUGCAGACUCGCUCUCAGGUGGCGUCCGUCCUUGCCCACAGGCUUGGGGAGAGAGACGAUGAAGGGAAAGGAGAAAUGAUGGCAGCUUUCCAGGGAUUCCAGCAGUUCCAUCCUUGUACGUGGUGUGAAGUAUGAACCGAAAGCGAUUCCGGCUUGUUCAUACUAGUUUGGACAGUCAGACACUCUGCCAUGGUUGCUGCUGCUGCUGCUGCUGCAGCUGCAGGGACGACCGCCACAGCCCAAGAUCAAGUUAUCUUUAAAUUUGAUGAUGAAGCCCAUCAUGUCAGCUCGAGCCGCCUGCAUGACAAAAGAGCCGUCAAUUACCAAAGUAAAAUCAUACUGAUCCUAUAAGAACAGUACAUCUCCUACAGUUGCUUACAUCCGAUGUCCCUCAGAUCUGUCCCUAUGCUUACAGUAGUCACUCACGUGGAACCAAACCUUGUAGAAAAGUUGGUUUGACCUAACUGUUGUCAUACUUAGCCACAACGACCUAACUGUGGCUCACCCAAAACACCCAUAGCCUGAUAGUUAUUUUGUUCAGGUGUUGUUGGUCUUCCAAAAGUCAUGUAUCACU